rnacentral:rRNA from 1 species
UGCCAGCAGCCGCGGUAAUACGGAGGGGGUUAGCGUUGUUCGGAAUUACUGGGCGUAAAGCGCACGUAGGCGGACUGGAAAGUUGGGGGUGAAAUCCCAGGGCUCAACCCUGGAACUGCCUCCAAAACUAUCAGUCUAGAGUUCGAGAGAGGUGAGUGGAAUUCCCAGUGUGGAGGUGAAAUUCGUAGAUAUUGGGAAGAACACCAGUGGCGAAGGCGGCUAACUGGCUCGGUACUGACGCUGAGAUGCGAAGGCGUGGGUAGCGAACAGGAUUAGAUA